GUGCCAGCCGCCGCGGUAAUACCGGCAGCUCAAGUGAUGGCCGAUCUUAUUGGGCCUAAAGCGUCCGUAGCUGGCUGCGCAAGUCCGUCGGGAAAUCCACUCGCCCAACGAGUGGGCGUCCGGCGGAACCUGUGUGGCUUGGGACCGGAAGGCGCGACGGGUACGUCCGGGGUAGGAGUGAAAUCCCGUAAUCCUGGACGGACCGCCGAUGGCGAAAGCACGUCGCGAAAACGGAUCCGACAGUGAGGGACGAAAGCUAGGGUCUCGAACCGGAUUAGAAACCCUAGUAGUCC
rnacentral:rRNA from 1 species